rnacentral:rRNA from 1 species
UACGGAGGGUGCGAGCGUUGUCCGGAAUCACUGGGCGUAAAGGGCGCGUAGGCGGCCGUGUAAGUCACUUGUGAAAUCCCGGGGCUCAACCCCGGGGCUGCAGGUGAGACUGCGUGGCUAGAGCACGGUAGAGGAGGGCGGAAUUCCCGGUGUAGCGGUGAAAUGCGUAGAUAUCGGGAGGAACAUCAGUGGCGAAGGCG